rnacentral:rRNA from 1 species
UGGGGAAUAUUGCACAAUGGGCGCAAGCCUGAUGCAGCGACGCCGCGUGAGGGAUGGAGGCCUUCGGGUUGUAAACCUCUUUUGUUUGGGAGCAUGCCUUCGGGUGAGUGUACCUUUCGAAUAAGCGCCGGCUAACUACGUGCCAGCAGCCGCGGUAAUACGUAGGGCGCAAGCGUUAUCCGGAUUUAUUGGGCGUAAAGGGCUCGUAGGCGGCUCGUCGCGUCCGGUGUGAAAGUCCAUCGCUUAACGGUCGAUCUGCGCCGGGUACGGGCGGGCUGGAGUGCGGUAGGGGAGACUGGAAUUCCCGGUGUAACGGUGGAAUGUGUAGAUAUCGGGAAGAACACCGAUGGCGAAGGCAGGUAUCUGGGCCGUCACUGACGCUGAGGAGCGAAAGCGUGGGGAGCGAACAGGAUUAGAUACCCUGGUAGUCCACGCCGUAAACGGUGGACGCUGGAUGUGGGGCACGUUCCACGUGUUCCGUGUCGGAGCUAACGCGUUAAGCGUCCCGCCUGGGGAGUACGGCCGCAAGGCUA